rnacentral:lncRNA from 1 species
GCUACACAGCCGCUGUCUCCGCCACAACAACCCCAGCCGGGCGCGCCCCGAUCGGCUUUACCCCUGUGCCGCGGCCUCGCUCCGACCUCCGGGGGCUGGUGCGGGCCAGACCUGGACUCACCUUGUCUCCAGGGAGCUCCCAGGGUGAAGCUCUUGUGCCAGCUGAACAUCCCGGCCGCGGGAAGCUUCGCUCCUUCACUGACAGCUGGGAGCGGGGGCGCCAGCCCGGGGCAUUCUGCCAGCGCUCUCGCCUCGCGUGGAGUCUCCGCGGUUUGCUUUCAAUUAAACCGGCCCCGGGCUGGUCCUGCCCCCAUCGCUGGGGCUGGGGCAGGACUCCCCCGCCCCCUUGGGAGGGAGGGAGCGAAGAAACCACUCCCCUUUGCAGAGCUCUGCAGGCUGCCGCUGAGCCCAGAAGAAAUAACUCGAGUGGCAGCCGCAGCAGCAGCCGGGGCUGUUCUCGCCGAGGUUGCUGAACUGUAUAUGGGCGUGCAGCCAGCAGGGCCUGACAUUCCACAGGCUGCUCCCUUUCCAUCUCCCCGGGCUGAUAAGCCAGUGACUGGAGUGGGUGAUACCUUCACUAUCCAAGCACCCCCGGGAAAGAAAUGCCUGAGCGCUUGCAUAAGGGCAACAAACAACCCACAUCUCCAGUGGGUUUCGAAGAGGAGAGCAGAGAAGGAAAGCAUGGAGUGUGAUUUGGUUUUUUUCUCCACAAUCAAAGCGACGGUAGGUGCUUGGGACCACAAUCCUCUGGCUAAUGGCAAGCUUUUGGAGAGGAACUCCAAGGAGUCCCUUGAUGUUUUUUUGGGAUCACGGGAAAGCAGAACAGAUGGGACACUCAGGAGAUGUUGUUUCUUUUCUUUCUUUCUUCUUUUUACAUGUGAGGAAGCUGUUGGAGAAAAUCCCUAACCCUUCUACCACCAGGAUGGAUAGAUACCUGCAAGUAAGACCCGUGACCGUCCCUGACUGUCACUCAGAUGGACAGCCCUGAGGCCCUGUCCGGGACAGCCUUUUAUACACUUGCCCGGGAAACCCCUUAGAAAAGGCGGGAAACCCCUUCUGGGAAACCCCUUAGGAAAAGAAAAAAAACCAUUCUGACUGGAAGUUGUUUACAUCUCCAGGAGAAAUAAAAGAGCGGGAAAAGUAAUCCA